UAACCUGGCUGGCAGGGGAGAUACCAUGGUCACGAAGGUGGUUUUCCCAGGGCGAGCGAGGCUUAUCCAUUGCACUCUGGAUGUGCUGACCCCUGCGAUUUCCCCAAAUGUGGGAAACUCGACUGCAUAAUUUGUGGUAGUGGGGACAGCUUUCGCGCUCUCCCCUG
ensembl:snRNA U1 U1 spliceosomal RNA